AACGAACGCUGGCGGCGUGCUUAACACAUGCAAGUCGAACGCGAAAGUCCUUCGGGAUGAGUAGAGUGGCGCACGGGUGAGUAAUGAAUAGGAACAUACCUUUUGGUGGGGAAUAACUUCGAGAAAUUGGAGCUAAUACCGCAUAAGAACGUAAGUUGAAAGGGGGCCUCUGCUUGCAAGCUCUCGCCGAUUGAUUGGCCUAUUUCCCAUUAGCUAGUUGGUAGGGUAAAAGCCUACCAAGGCGACGAUGGGUAGCUGGUCUGAGAGGAUGAUCAGCCACACUGGAACUGAGACACGGUCCAGACUCCUACGGGAGGCAG
rnacentral:rRNA from 1 species